GAUGAACGCUGGCGGCGUGCCUAAUACAUGCAAGUCGAGCGAACAGACGAGGAGCUUGCUCCUUUGACGUUAGCGGCGGACGGGUGAGUAACACGUGGAUAACCUACCUAUAAGACUGGGAUAACUUCGGGAAACCGGAGCUAAUACCGGAUAACAUGUUGAACCGCAUGGUUCAACAGUGAAAGACGGUCUUGCUGUCACUUAUAGAUGGAUCCGCGCCGCAUUAGCUAGUUGGUAAGGUAACGGCUUACCAAGGCAACGAUGCGUAGCCGACCUGAGAGGGUGAUCGGCCACACUGGAACUGAGACACGGACCAGACUCCUACGGGAGGCAGCAGUAGGGAAUCUUCCGCAAUGGGCGAAAGCCUGACGGAGCAACGCCGCGUGAGUGAAGAAGGUCUUCGGAUCGUAAAACUCUGUUAUUAGGGAAGAACAAAUGUGUAAGUAACUAUGCACGUCUUGACGGUACCUAAUCAGAAAGCCACGGCUAACUACGUG
rnacentral:rRNA from 1 species